AGAGUCUGAUGUGGGGCUCGAUCCAAGGACCCUGGAAUCAUGACCUGAGCCGAAGGCAGAGGCCUUAACUCACUGAGCUACCCAGGAAGAUUUCGAUGUCGAUCACUUUGUGUCUGACUGUAGGAAGUGUGUCCAGCUGGAGGAACUAAGAGGAUAUCUGGAACUCUACUAUAAACUUCUUAAAAUAGCCAUGGUCGAGCUCAUCAACAAGGAUUAUGCAGAUUUUGUCAACCUUUCCACAAACUUGGUUGGCAUGAACAAAGCCCUCAAUGAACUUUCUGUGCCUUUGGGACAGUUACAAGAAGUUCUGAGUCUCAGGUCACCAGUCAGUGAAGGAAUUCGGGCAGUAGAUAAACGAAUGUGUAAACAAGAGGACAUAAGGUAGAAAAAGGUGAUUGUAGAGCAGAUCGUUGAGUCUCAUCCGGACGGCCUGAAGAUCAUGUAUGCUAAUAAGCUCCUGGAGUUCGUUCCUCACCACUGCCGCCUUCUUCGAGAGGUCACAGGAGGAGCCAUCUCAAGCCCUCAGCUGUCCCACCUGCCCAGAGCUCUGCAGCCUUCCUGAGUCACUCGUGGCUUCUCAUCACCCACAGAAGAGCAUCCAGUCUUCCUGGCGCAACCUGUGACCAUUGUUGCUUGAGUCCUAGUGGUUCUCCUCUGUAGAACUUUCUACUGUGGUACUUUCCCCCAUACCACUAUGGUUCCUGGCCAGACAGGAGCGCUUGACCUUCCCUAACACACCUGGUACAGAAGAUCCCUGACUUCACCUUGGUUCAGUUUAUGGUUUUUUGACCUUUUAUAAUAGUGCAGAAGUGAUAUGCAUUUAGUUUGGAUCUUUUCCCAGGCUGGCGAUCUACAGUAGGGUCCUCUUUUGUAAUGCUGGGCAGGGGCAGCGAGCACAGCCCCCAGGCAAACCACGUGAUCACGAGGGUCAGCAACCAACACAAUUGAACCGUCCUGUUCUGGCUUUCAGUGCAGUGUUCAGUAAGUUACAUGAGAUACCAGACACUUUAUUGUGAAAUAGGCUUUGUGUUAGAGGAUUUUGCCCAACUGUGCAAUACUGUAAGUGUUCUCAAGACAUUUAAGUUUGGUGGGGCUAAGCUCUGAUGUUCAGUCGCUUAGGUGUUUUCCAUGCAUUUUCAACUAAAGAGAUUUCCAGCUGAACAAUGGGUUUAUUAGAAGCCGAGGCCGUCAUAAGCCGAGGAACAUCUGUCUAUACUGUGCGCCUCUGUGUUUUCCUUCAUUGCUUCCUGUCUCAUAUCCCUUUGUCUUUCUGUUGAUCUGUCACUCCACAUGAAGCUCCAGUCAAAUACAACUUCUUUUUUUUUUUUUAGGUUAUUUAUUUAUUUACUUAUUAGAGAAAGCAUAAGCAGAGGGGGAGGCAAAGAGUGAAGCAGGCUCCCCACUGAGCAGGGAGCCCGAUGUGGGACUCGAUCCCAGGACCCUGAGAUCAUGACCUGAGCCACCCAAGCGCCCCCAGGCUAUGGUUAUUUCAAGAGAAGGUCCUAUUUGUGAAUUCUUCAUCUAGUGAAGAUGAAUUAAAAUCAGAAAGUCAACUCUGCCACAUUUAAAAACCCAGGAACAGAAAAAAAUUCCGCGAGCAGGUAUAACCCUAUCCACAAUAAAUCACUUUCAAUCCAGUCCUGAAAACUAAUACAGAGUAGGAAGAAAGCAUUACAGAAAAAUUUUGUUUUCAUUAAUCAAGCUGGAAAAUAACAGGCCUUACACGAAUGCCCUUUAGGAAGACAGUUCUUAUAGUUUUAUGUUGAUGGAAACUAACAUUACAUUCGAAAUGCAUGUUAAAACCAUGACUGUAGAUUAACUACCACUUUCAGUCGUCAGAAGAUGAAAAAUGGUCAAGAGUCACCCAAACUGAAUCCUGGUUCCUCCUGGAAAAUGUGUUCCUAAAUAUUUUCCCCCUGAACUACUGUGCU